UACGGAGGGGGCGAGCGUUGUCCGAAGUACUGGGCGUAAAGCGUGCGCAGGCGGCUAUGCAAGACAGAUGUGAAAUCCCCGGGCUCAACCUGGGAACUGCAUUUGUGACUGUAGAGCUGGAGUGCGGCAGAGGGGGAUGGAAUUCCGCGUGUAGCAGUGAAAUGCGUAGAUAUGCGGAGGAACACCGAUGGCGAAGGCAAUCCCCUGGGCCUGCACUGACGCCCAUGCACGAAAGCGUGGGGAGCAAACAGG
rnacentral:rRNA from 1 species